rnacentral:rRNA from 1 species
GGUUAAGCGACUAAGCGUACACGGUGGAUGCCCUGGCAGUCAGAGGCGAUGAAGGACGUGCUAAUCUGCGAUAAGCGUCGGUAAGGUGAUAUGAACCGUUAUAACCGGCGAUUUCCGAAUGGGGAAACCCAGUGUGUUUCGACACACUAUCAUUAACUGAAUCCAUAGGUUAAUGAGGCGAACCGGGGGAACUGAAACAUCUAAGUACCCCGAGGAAAAGAAAUCAACCGAGAUUCCCCCAGUAGCGGCGAGCGAACGGGGAGCAGCCCAGAGCCUGAAUCAGUGUGUGUGUUAGUGGAAGCGUCUGGAAAGGCGCGCGAUACAGGGUGACAGCCCCGUACACAAAAAUGCACAUGCUGUGAGCUCGAUGAGUAGGGCGGGACACGUGGUAUCCUGUCUGAAUAUGGGGGGACCAUCCUCCAAGGCUAAAUACUCCUGACUGACCGAUAGUGAACCAGUACCGUGAGGGAAAGGCGAAAAGAACCCCGGCGAGGGGAGUGAAAAAGAACCUGAAACCGUGUACGUACAAGCAGUGGGAGCACGCUUCGGCGUGUGACUGCGUACCUUUUGUAUAAUGGGUCAGCGACUUAUAUUCUGUAGCAAGGUUAACCGAAUAGGGGAGCCGAAGGGAAACCGAGUCUUAACUGGGCGUUAAGUUGCAGGGUAUAGACCCGAAACCCGGUGAUCUAGCCAUGGGCAGGUUGAAGGUUGGGUAACACUAACUGGAGGACCGAACCGACUAAUGUUGAAAAAUUAGCGGAUGACUUGUGGCUGGGGGUGAAAGGCCAAUCAAACCGGGAGAUAGCUGGUUCUCCCCGAAAGCUAUUUAGGUAGCGCCUCGUGAAUUCAUCUCCGGGGGUAGAGCACUGUUUCGGCAAGGGGGUCAUCCCGACUUACCAACCCGAUGCAAACUGCGAAUACCGGAGAAUGUUAUCACGGGAGACACACGGCGGGUGCUAACGUCCGUCGUGAAGAGGGAAACAACCCAGACCGCCAGCUAAGGUCCCAAAGUCAUGGUUAAGUGGGAAACGAUGUGGGAAGGCCCAGACAGCCAGGAUGUUGGCUUAGAAGCAGCCAUCAUUUAAAGAAAGCGUAAUAGCUCACUGGUCGAGUCGGCCUGCGCGGAAGAUGUAACGGGGCUAAACCAUGCACCGAAGCUGCGGCAGCGACACUGUGUGUUGUUGGGUAGGGGAGCGUUCUGUAAGCCUGUGAAGGUGUACUGUGAGGUAUGCUGGAGGUAUCAGAAGUGCGAAUGCUGACAUAAGUAACGAUAAAGCGGGUGAAAAGCCCGCUCGCCGGAAGACCAAGGGUUCCUGUCCAACGUUAAUCGGGGCAGGGUGAGUCGACCCCUAAGGCGAGGCCGAAAGGCGUAGUCGAUGGGAAACAGGUUAAUAUUCCUGUACUUGGUGUUACUGCGAAGGGGGGACGGAGAAGGCUAUGUUGGCCGGGCGACGGUUGUCCCGGUUUAAGCGUGUAGGCUGGUUUUCCAGGCAAAUCCGGAAAAUCAAGGCUGAGGCGUGAUGACGAGGCACUACGGUGCUGAAGCAACAAAUGCCCUGCUUCCAGGAAAAGCCUCUAAGCAUCAGGUAACAUCAAAUCGUACCCCAAACCGACACAGGUGGUCAGGUAGAGAAUACCAAGGCGCUUGAGAGAACUCGGGUGAAGGAACUAGGCAAAAUGGUGCCGUAACUUCGGGAGAAGGCACGCUGAUAUGUAGGUGAAGCGACUUGCUCGUGGAGCUGAAAUCAGUCGAAGAUACCAGCUGGCUGCAACUGUUUAUUAAAAACACAGCACUGUGCAAACACGAAAGUGGACGUAUACGGUGUGACGCCUGCCCGGUGCCGGAAGGUUAAUUGAUGGGGUUAGCGCAAGCGAAGCUCUUGAUCGAAGCCCCGGUAAACGGCGGCCGUAACUAUAACGGUCCUAAGGUAGCGAAAUUCCUUGUCGGGUAAGUUCCGACCUGCACGAAUGGCGUAAUGAUGGCCAGGCUGUCUCCACCCGAGACUCAGUGAAAUUGAACUCGCUGUGAAGAUGCAGUGUACCCGCGGCAAGACGGAAAGACCCCGUGAACCUUUACUAUAGCUUGACACUGAACAUUGAGCCUUGAUGUGUAGGAUAGGUGGGAGGCUUAGAAGUGUGGACGCCAGUCUGCAUGGAGCCGACCUUGAAAUACCACCCUUUAAUGUUUGAUGUUCUAACGUUGACCCGUAAUCCGGGUUGCGGACAGUGUCUGGUGGGUAGUUUGACUGGGGCGGUCUCCUCCUAAAGAGUAACGGAGGAGCACGAAGGUUGGCUAAUCCUGGUCGGACAUCAGGAGGUUAGUGCAAUGGCAUAAGCCAGCUUGACUGCGAGCGUGACGGCGCGAGCAGGUGCGAAAGCAGGUCAUAGUGAUCCGGUGGUUCUGAAUGGAAGGGCCAUCGCUCAACGGAUAAAAGGUACUCCGGGGAUAACAGGCUGAUACCGCCCAAGAGUUCAUAUCGACGGCGGUGUUUGGCACCUCGAUGUCGGCUCAUCACAUCCUGGGGCUGAAGUAGGUCCCAAGGGUAUGGCUGUUCGCCAUUUAAAGUGGUACGCGAGCUGGGUUUAGAACGUCGUGAGACAGUUCGGUCCCUAUCUGCCGUGGGCGCUGGAGAACUGAGGGGGGCUGCUCCUAGUACGAGAGGACCGGAGUGGACGCAUCACUGGUGUUCGGGUUGUCAUGCCAAUGGCACUGCCCGGUAGCUAAAUGCGGAAGAGAUAAGUGCUGAAAGCAUCUAAGCACGAAACUUGCCCCGAGAUGAGUUCUCCCUGAC